rnacentral:sRNA from 1 species
UACUGAUGUACGCAUCCUAAGUUCGCCGCGUCCUGCGGCAACGGAUGCAUGAUCCACAUCCUGUGGA